rnacentral:rRNA from 1 species
GAUUGUAGGCUGCAACUCGCCUACAUGAAGUCGGAAUUGCUAGUAAUCGCGGAUCAGCAUGCCGCGGUGAAUACGUUCCCGGGCCUUGUACACACCGCCCGUCACACCAUGGGAGUCGGUAACACCCGAAGCCUGUAGUCUAACCGCAAGGGGGACGCAGUCGAAGGUGGGAUUGAUGACUGGGGUGAAGUCGUAACAAGGUACC